rnacentral:rRNA from 1 species
AUACAGAGGGUGCAAGCGUUAUUCGGAAUUACUGGGCGUAAAGCGCGCGUAGGCGGAUGAUUAAGUCAGUUGUGAAAGCCCUGGGCUCAACCUAGGAACUGCAUCUGAUACUGGUCGUCUAGAGUUUAAGAGAGGGAAGUGGAAUUCCAGGUGUAGCAGUGAAAUGCGUAGAUAUCUGGAGGAACAUCAGUGGCGAAGGCGACUUCCUGGCUUAAAACUGACGCUGAGGUGCGAAAGCGUGUGUAGCGAACGGGAUUAGAAACCCUAGUAGUCC